rnacentral:rRNA from 1 species
CGGUAAUUCCAGCUCCAAUAGCGUAUACUAAAGUUGUUGCAGUUAAAAAGCUCGUAGUUGGAUUUCUGCGGGGACGGAGCGGCCGGACGCAACUUGCGUCUCGAGCUAGCGCUUUCCCCGCAUCCUGCCGCGAACCGUGCUACCAUUAGCUUGGUGGCGCUGGGGAUCGGCUCGAUUACUUUGAGAAAAAUAGAGUGUUCAAAGCAGGCCACACGCCUUGAAUAAGUUAGCAUGGAAUAAUGAUUAAGGACUUCGGUUCUAUUUUGUUGGUGUUCGGGACUGAAGUAAUGAUUGAUAGGGACAGUUGGGGCGGUCUGUAUUCCAAAGCGAGAGGUGAAAUUCUUAGACCUUCGGAAGACAAACAGCUGCGAAAGCGUUCCGCAAGGAUGUUCCCUUUGAUCAAGAACGAAAGUUGGGGGAUCGAAGACGAUCAGAUACCGUCGUAGUCUCAACUAUAAACUAUACCAGCUAGGGAUCGGCCAACGUUUAACUUUAUCGACUUGGUCGGCACCUUAUGAGAAAUCAAAGCAUCUGGGUUCCGGGGGGAGUAUGGUCGCAAGGCUGAAACUUAAAGGAAUUGACGGAAGGGCACCACCAGGCGUGGAGCCUGUGGCUUAAUUUGACUCAACACGGGAAAACUUACCAGGUCCAGGCAUAGGAAGGAUUGACAGAUUGAUAGCUCUUUCUUGAUUCUGUGGGUGGUGGUGCAUGGCCGUUUUUAGUCGGUGAAGUGAUUUGUCUGCUUAAUUGCGUUAACGGACGAGACCCCAGCCUGCUAAAUAGCGCGGCCGAGCUUUGCUCGGUGCGAGCUUCUUAGAGGGACCAUGAUGCGCGAUAGCACAAGGAAGUUUGGGGCAACAACAGGUCUGUGAUGCCCUUAGAUGUUCUGGGCCGCACACGGGCUACACUGGCGCCUGCAACGAGCAUAUCAGCUGGCCCGAGAGGGUCUUGGCUAAUCUUUGGAACCGGCGCCGUGCUUGGGAUUGACCAUUGCAAUUGUUGGUCAUGCAACGAGGAAUGCCUUGUAAACGCGAGUCAUCAGCUCGCAUUGAAUACGUCCCUGCCCCUUGUACACACCGCCC